rnacentral:rRNA from 1 species
UACGAGUGCCCCGAGCGUUAUCCGGAAUCAUUGGGCGUAAAGGGUGCGUAGGCGGCGCGGUAAGUCGGGUGUGAAAUCUCGGGGCUUAACUCCGAAACUGCAUUCGAUACUGCCGUGCUUGAGGACUGGAGAGGAGACUGGAAUUUACGGUGUAGCGGUGAAAUGCGUAGAUAUCGUAAGGAAGACCAGUGGCGAAGGCGGGUCUCCGGACAGUUCCUGACACUGAGACACGAAGGCCAGGGGAGCAAACGGG